GACGAACCGAGCGAACGUUGUUCGGAAUCACUGGGCGUAAAGCGCACGUAGGCGGCUUUCUAAGUCAGGGGUGAAAUCCUGGAGCUCAACUCCAGAACUGCCUUUGAUACUGGAGAGCUUGAGUCCGGGAGAGGUGAGUGGAACUCCGAGUGUAGAGGUGAAAUUCGUAGAUAUUCGGAAGAACACCAGUGGCGAAGGCGGCUCACUGGCCCGGUACUGACGCUGAGACGCGAAAGCGUGGGUAGCAAACAGG
rnacentral:rRNA from 1 species